AAUUGCAACAAUCCAUAAAGGGAAAGAAUCGGGGCAAGGUGGUCCCAAGCACCGUUCCUUUUACAGAUAUACUGUCCCUACAGGUUUCAAAGAGAGCUCCUCAUUUGCAAGAAAUGUGUAGUUCUGAAUUGGAGAAAUAUAUUCUACAUAUAUUUCUACAGUGCAAAGAAUGCGCUGAAUCCAAGAAAGAACAGAAAAAGUUAACUGAGUUAUCCAGGGGCAUCUUCCAUCAGAAAAUACCAGAUACAAGUCUCUGGAGGCAAGAUUCUGACAACUUUUAUUCCAUGGAACUGUAAAGGAUCUUGUACCUGCAUAGAUGGCAUAAAAACAGAAUUUCCUCCUCUGUAUAAAAUAAACCCAAAUCUAUUUCCUAGGAAAAAAUUAUU
rnacentral:lncRNA from 1 species